rnacentral:rRNA from 1 species
AUACGGAGGAUCCGAGCGUUAUCCGGAUUUAUUGGGUUUAAAGGGUGCGCAGGCGGCCAUUUAAGUCAGCGGUUAAAUCGUGGGGCUCAACCCCAUUCUGCCGUUGAUACUGGGUGGCUUGAUUGCGGUCGAGGUUGGCGGAAUUCGUUGUGUAGCGGUGAAAUGCAUAGAUAUGACGAAGAACACCGAUUGCGUAGGCAGCUGACCAGACCGCAAAUGACGCUCAUGCACGAAAGUGCGGGGAUCGAACAGGAUUAGAUACCCUGGUAGUCCGCAUAGUAAACGAUGAAUACUUGUUUUCGGCGAUAUAAUGUCGGAGGCAAAGCGAAAGCGAUAAGUAUUCCACCUGGGGAGUACGCCGGCAACGGUGAAACUCAAAGGAAUUGACGGGG